rnacentral:rRNA from 14 species
AACGGCGGCCGUAACAAUAACGGGCCUAAGGUAGCGAAAUUCCUUGUCAGGUAAGUUCUGACCCGCACGAAAGGCGUAACGAUUUGGGCACUGUCUCAACGAGAGGCUCGGUGAAAUCAUAGUACCUGUGAAGAUGCAGGUUACCCGCGACAGGACGGAAAGACCCCGUGGAGCUUUACUGUAGCCUGAUAUUGAAAUUCGGCACAGCUUGUACAGGAUAGGUAGGAGCCUUUGAAACGUGAGCGCUAGCUUACGUGGAGGCGUUGGUGGGA